GAAUUCUUCAUGUCAUGCCAAACCAGACAAGUUAAGAUUCCUGUUGCUUAUCACGAGGUUCAUGGUUUCUUUUUUUCUUUUAUCUAUUUAUUUUUUUAUUUUAUGGUCGUUUUCAAAGCUGUUUAUCCUUUUAGCUUGUAUGCUUCAUGUGCUGUAGGAACUUUGAGAAACUCUGUAUGCUGUAGGCGAUCUUUUUUUUUUCUUUUUCUUUACCCUUGUUGUUUGUUAGUCUAUUGGGAAGAUAUUUUAGCUAGUUUUUCCAUAUUGUGGAAAGAAGGUUGCUAGUGCGGGGGCAAAAAGAAAGAAAAAAGAAGAAAUCUUGAAUUAUGUUCUGGGUAAGCAAAGAACAUAGGUUCAUUUCCAAAAGUUUUUAUCUUUCAACCAAAACCGUUAAGAAUUUGAAUGGCCUGGCUAAAUAAAUCCUGUUGAGUCUUCGAUUGAAUUAGUAUGGCAGCAUUGCUGCACUGUGUAUAUAAUGGUACUUUUGUGGUGAUAUGAUAUUGGAGUUUGUAUAUUCUCUGUGUGGCUGUACCCGGGUUUUUCUUCACCAGCUCUCAUGCCUGUCUCAAUAUUUAGAUAUGAAACAUGUUUGAGUCGACAUCAGUGUAUCUGAACUUUGUUUCAUUGUCAAUGAUCAAGGAGUUGCCAGAAUUUCUGGAGACAUUUAUUGUUUAAAGUGAAACCAGAUCAUGGCUUUUGGCAGUUUAGCAGAUGUGCUAUAAUGCUAUCAGAACUCAGAAAUAAUUGAGCUGUAGAAAUUAUAUGCAUAAUUGUUGGUGGUCAUGUUACACGUAAGGUGCGGAGGGUAAAGGGAAGCAUAGUGAUAGCAGAUCUUGAGGAAGUGCAAGGAAGGGGAGGAGAUGAUUUCUAUUGUUAAGUAUUGAGAUUGAUCAUGCAUUGACAUUGAAUUGUUUGUAUAAAUAGCUUCUUCGGGCCUUUAUUUUAUGCUAAUGAUUGGUGUUAUAGAGUUUAUGCUAACUGUUUGAAUUAUAUGUUCUGUUUGGAAAAUAAUUUGCAUUAUUUAUUUGAAUGCUUACCUAAUAGUGAUAAUGCGUGGAAUAUUUGGGCUGACACCAUUUUCUUGACAAUGUCUUUCCUAGAUUGAUUGAUUUCCCAAGUAUUGCUAAUGCUGCCUAUUUCAUAACCGGCAACAAUUUUUUCAUUUGCUGUGCAAGGAUGGAGUAUCAACUAGAGGAAAAAUCCUCAUGGAAAUUAUGUCUUUAGGCAUGCAAGAUGUGAUGUAAAUUGAUGCAAUUGUUCAAUUCUGUGACGGAGAAAUGAUGAUGCAAGGAGAUUUUGAUCUGAAUCCAGUUCAAAUAUAUACAGAUUCACUUAAAGAAUUUUUGAAGCAGACAAUGCUUGAUCAGGAUGUUGUAUUUAGGAAUCAGGUAUUAUCUCACCUUGGAAGCACAAUGUGUUUUUAGCUAGAUUUGAUGUCAUAUAAUUCCGUUUGAGUGGAUCAAAUCCUUGGGCCACUUCUGAAAUUUAUAGCUUAUCUGAAUACUUGUGGAUUUCCAAUUUCCAAGCUUUUUGGUUAUGUUCAUCAAAUAUGGCUCUCAAGGGUGAGCCAUGAGGCAUGGAUGUUGGAACAGAAGUUAUGCAAAUGCACAAACCAUAGCUUGGCCUCUAUCUUCUCAAUGUAUCUCUAUUUGUUUCUUAAAUUUCUUGAUGCCCAUGAACUCCAUAGGUUUUGGAUUAUGUAAAUAUCACUAAUGAAGGACCUCAGUUGUAAGUAUAUUUUAUUUUUAUGACAUUUGCUUAGGUCCAUGAACUCCAUCGGCUAUACAGAGUACAAGAAUCAUUAAUGAAGGAUUUUGGCUGGAAAGAGUGUAAUAGAUACAUUUCAUGGAAUCCAAAAGCUCAGUCAUCUCUCCUUACUCUUGCAAAUCCUACAAGAUAUGAACCAUUGGCAAAUGAAAAUAGAUACUCCUCAACUACCAAGGUGGAUGCUACACCUUUCAUAAGCCAAGAGUUGUUAAAGGAUUGCCAAGGUGCAUAUCAUAAGCUGCAGCACAGACCUCUUGAUCUUCGACUUUCUGCUGAUGAAUUCAUUAACCAUGUUGAGGAGGAUCUUCCAAAGAGAGGAAAUUUUCAUAAUUGUUUUGAUGGUCUUGGAGACUUUAAGCUUCCUCUUUCUGGCAGUAACUCUUCAGAUGCAGAGGAAUUGAAGCUUUCCCUUAACAUUGGAGGGAAUGAUAGAACAACUGAAGGCAAAAUGAGGACUUGUUUCAUGAAGAGAACUUAUUCCUACACUCAAAAUGUGAUUGAUUUGGAAGAAUCAAUUGAGAGGAUACCAGAUGGGUAUUCAAAAUGGCCACCUCCUCAUGGCUGUGUUAUUCUGGAAACUCAUUCUAAAGGCAAGCAUGAAUCACAAGGUUCUGCUUUUUCUGAUCCAAUCAUUUCAACCAGUGUGAAGAAAAAUCUCUCUCAUGAGAUUGCAGAAAUUAGCUCUAUUCAAGAACGUAGUGAAUGUUGUCAAGAGGAGACCUUUUCCAGCGCAGAUCUAGGAGGGCAGUUGGAUCUGAACAAAGUUCACUUGGAUGACUCAUCUUGUUGCUCAGAUGAUCAUAUGCUUGCCUAUCCUUCAACAAGCUCAGGAGGCAGUUCUGAUGGACUUACUGGCAGCACGCGGGAUGGAUCUUGUCCUAGAACAUUUCAGAAAAAUGAAGCCACUGAGUGCUCAAAUGAACCUUCUGACUUGCUUAAACAAGAUAAUGUUGUGAAUCUUGCUUUUGUGGAUUUCAACAGCAAAAACAAAAGCACAGAUGUUUGGACUAUAAAUAAUGAAAUAAUUAGUAGUUUAGAGAGCGAGAGCCUUAUUGGUCCAGAAUCCAUGCUUAGCCCUACAGUAGGCAUUUCUGAAGAACUUUGUUGCUGCAGUGGAGAUCACAAGAAUGACAGUGUCGUGCUGAGGCCAAAACUUGCUAGAGAAGUAAGUUGCGAGAAGAGUGAGGUAGAGAAUGCUAUUUUUUCAUGUACUGAUCAAAGUCAAAAUACAUUGAUAGAUGAAAAUGGCAACAAGUCUCCUGCUUCCUGCAAGUCCUACUGCAUCUCUGAUAAUGAUUCAAGCAGUGCAAAGACAAAGCAUUCUAGCAUUACAUCCCACUUAGGAUCUCAAGUUGCCGAUGUCUUAACAGGCAUGCAUGACCAAAGAACUUCUGACAGCAGUGAAUUAAAAAAUGGCUGCUGCAAGAAGAAAGAAGAAUCAGCUGAAGUAGAUGUUUUGAUCCAACAAGCAGCUGAAUUGCUUAUCCAUAUAUCCUCAGAGCAUUCAGCUUGUUGUCAGGAUUCUUCUACAGAAGUGGGAUCCAAGGAGAUGGAAGAUUGCAAGAGAGAGCGACCACAGUGUUCUCUUGAUUCUUUUGAGUUAAUUACUUUAAAUCUAGAAGAAAGCAACAUGGAUGACCAUUCUGUGUCAUCAAAGCCAUUUGAAGUAAAUGACGUGGAGCUGAAGGAUUUUGGGCUUAAGUUGAGGCGGGGAAGGAGAAUGAAAGAUUUCCAGAGGGAGAUACUACCCAGUCUUGCAUCUCUUUCCAGACAUGAAAUUCUUGAAGAUAUAAACAUUAUGGAGGGAGUUUUAAGAUCCAGAGAGUACCGUAAGUUCAGAGCCAAGAUGGCAACUCAAGGAGAGAACUGGUCUGCACCAGUGAGAAGUAGAAGGUCAAGGCUUAGUUAUGCCGGAAGAAGAAUUUUUUCAUGAAAGUUCAAUUAAUAGCAUUACAACUGAACAUAAAUACAUUAUGGUUCUGUAUACCAUCAUUGCAAAUAUUGUCUGGAGUCAUUUCCAAGCUUUAGAAAUUAGAAUCGAUUACUUUCAGAAAGAUGAUGAAUUUUCACUUCUUGUUUUCAUUCUUGCUGAAGCAGUCUGUUCAUGUCCCCCAGCUGCUCCAAUCUCCCCCAACCCAAAGAACCUCUUGUUUUUUGCCGGGGUUGGAUCACGGAUGGUGCUAUUACAAUUUUGUUUCUUUGCCUGUGGUUUAAGGUUGAAGAGGGGCACUUAACCCACCAUGACCUGUUGAACAAUUAGAAACGCUUGCAAUCAAAUGGAAAUUCUUGAAAUAUUUCAACAAGAUGGUGUUGCAUUUCCUAGUUUCAUGGAUUUUAAUGUAGUUUCUAAACAAGUAGGGCACUUCAUGUGGAAGAACUUUUGAAACGUUAGAGCAAGGAUAUGGCUCGCAGAGAGCAGAUUUGCAUCCACGAGCAGCAUUUCAUGGAAAGAAUUUUAUUUCAUGAAUGUUUCAUUACAACAUGGCAAUAAACAAAAAUUUUGUAAGAGCAAUUCGUGGAUCUGUGGUAAGAGGGAACUUUUCUACAAUAGUUUUUAUGACAAUUCACAAACUUUGAGACAGUCCG
rnacentral:misc_RNA from 1 species